rnacentral:rRNA from 1 species
GACGUAGGGCGCGAGCGUUGUCCGGAUUUAUUGGGCGUAAAGAGCUCGUAGGCGGCUCAGUAAGUCAGGUGUGAAAACUCCAGGCUCAACCUGGAGACGCCACCUGAUACUGCUGUGGCUAGAGUCCGGUAGGGGAGCAUGGAAUUCCUGGUGUAGCGGUGAAAUGCGCAGAUAUCAGGAAGAACACCAAUGGCGAAAGCAGCUCUCUGGGACGGUACUGACGCUGAGGUGCGAAAGCGUGGGGAGCAAACAGG